UUAAGUAAAGUUUGAAUCUUGCUUAAGUUCUAUUAAAAACUAAAUCUAUAUAUAAUUGAGUAAGUUUAAUAAUUUUUUUAUAGUAGAUAGCCUUAGGAAACAAAAAUAUUGGGCCUAGCUAAGUUUGAAGGAUUGACUAAAAUCGUGCCAGCCGUCGCGGUUAGACGAAGAAUCCACAUAGAAUGAAUGUUUAUAUUAGUUAACGUUCAAUUUUUGAAGUUUCUCUAGCUUUUUUGUUGGGUGAAAUCAGUAUAAGAAGCUUUUUCUUCUUUAAAAAUUAGUAGGAACUAAAAAACUUUGAUUUAAAACCAGGAUUAGAUACCCUGUUAUUCUCAGUUAUUCUUAAACAGGGUAGUAAAAGUUGUUCUUCAAACCCAAAGAUUUUGGCGGCACUUUAUCCAAAUAGAGGAGCUUGUCCCUUAAUCGAUAGUCCUCGUUUUAUCUUUCCUUCAUUUGUAAAGCUUGUAUACCGCCGUUGUCAGAUUACUUUUAGAGAACGUUUUCAAGUUAAAAGACUUUGUAACUUCAGGUCAAGGUGCAGUUUAUAUGGGGGUGGAGGUGAGCUACAGUUUCUUUUAGAAAAUACGGAUUCUAAGCUUUGAAGCUAGCUGAAGGUGGAUUUACUAGUAAAGUAAUUUAAGUAAAAUUACUUGAAUAAGGCAAUAAAGUGUGUACAUAUCGCCCGUCACUCUCUCCUUAAGGAGAGAUAAGUCGUAACAAAGUAGAUGUACUGGAAAGUGUAUCUAGAACGA
rnacentral:ncRNA from 1 species